GAGGAUUGAAUAUACAGUUAGGAUUAAGAAUCACUGAGAUGAAUGAUUCUAUGCCACUUACAAUAGACAUAAGUAAGGCUAUUAUUAAACCAACUCAUAUAAAUUAUCAUCCAUCCAAGUCUUCAUUUUGCCUAUGUAAGAUAAUUUUUAAUGAUGUCUAAAUGUUUAGAUUGUUUUAAAUUCAGAAAUCAGGGAAAAAUAAUAACAAAUAAUUUUUUAGUCGUUGUAACACUUUAGUGAUCCCCUUCAAAUUGUCAAGGAAGAAGAAAGUUAACAUUGGUGUUGAGACACCAAUGAAGAAAUUAAUGGCUUGAAAAUAAAAUUGGAGGAAAUUAUUAAACUUAUCCUUAAAACUAAGUUGUAUAGUAGCAACUUAACUGCCACAGUAACAAUGUGACUCUCGUAGGUGAGAGCUUAGGAUCCCUUGGAGGACACUAGCAGGUUUAUAACCUAUGAGUCAUAUCACGAGAAUCACCGGUCCAGAAAAUAAAAUCUUUGACAUUCCUUGAAUAAACUCUAUCACUUUAAUAUGGAGGAUCCAGGAACUGUAAAAUUGGAAAUAUGAAAUCAUCCUGGAAUGGCUUCUAAGAAGCCUUAAAAUAUGCCAUUAAGUAUGAAGUCUUGACUAUAAUAUCUAAAUAAUAAAAUAUACAGACCUUGGUUUUGAAAAUGCAAGUAGAGUUAAUAUUUUGCUGGGCUGUAACCAUAUUUAUUAUUACUUCACUUGUACCAAACACAUAUACUUAAAGAAGCUGAAUUUGUGCAAUAAACAUUCAGCAAAUCCAGUUAUGACAUUGUGCCCAGAUGUUCCUGAAGGGUCAUUUGGGGAAGUAGUGAAUUCUGUUGGUUUCCACAAAGUCUCCUUUCCUCCUGUUGGAGCUUUGUUUAAUCUAGUUUAUCCUUACCUUAUCCUAGUCUAUCCUACCUGAAGAGGCAGGUAAUCAUAAAAACAAAUGAGACUUCACUGAUUUGUCACUGACUUCCUUACAAAGCUGUAUGAACAGCAGCAGGGUAAACAGAAUUGAUGCAAUUAUCUGAAAAAA
rnacentral:antisense_RNA from 1 species